rnacentral:rRNA from 1 species
UACGUAGUGGGCAAGCGUUGUCCGGAUUUAUUGGGCGUAAAGAGCGUGUAGGCGGUUUGGUAGGUCCGCUGUGAAAACUCGAGGCUCAACCUCGAGACGCCGGUGGAAACCAUCAGGCUAGAGUCCGGAAGAGGAGAGUGGAAUUCCUGGUGUAGCGGUGAAAUGCGCAGAUAUCAGGAGGAACACCAAUGGCGAAGGCAGCUCGCUGGGACGGUACUGACGCUGAGACGCGAAAGCGUGGGGAGCAAACAGG